CUGGAGCACAUCAAGUUUGAAAAGGGAGAAUACAUCUCCACAGUUUUCCUGUGUAGCACAUCCUGCAGGAAACAAAUUAAGAAGUCAAAGGCAAGGACCCUGCGAUAGCAACUUCACGGACUCUAAAUUCCACUGCAAGUGUUAACCUCCGGCUACAUUUACAUUUGGAAGGGAUGUGGAUGCACAGAUGUGCCAGGGGACUCAGCAAUCCAGCUGCACACAACUCUCAGGUCCAUGGAAAAGCAGGUUACUUCAAGAAUCAACGCUAUCUAUUACU